AAAGCAAAUCACAAAAUACGAAUUAAGUGAAUAUUAAUGGAGUACGAAUUAAUUUUAAUUAGGAGUAGUAGUAUAAUUUUUCAUUAGGAAAAUCAGAAAUAAAACCCUCUCCUCUUCACGCUACUUUUUAUAGCUCUUCGAUUCUCCGUUGCAGAAAAAAAAUUGGUUCAAUUCAAAGUUUAUGUUCUUCGAUUUCAAUUGUAGAUAAAAAUUGGUUCGAUUUCACAACUCUUCACGUCGUCUUCUUGUUCUUCGAUAUCAAUUGUAGACUGAAAUUGGUUCAAUUCAGAUUUUCUGUUCUUCGAUUUCAAUUGUACAAAGAAAUUGGUUCAAUUUCACAACUCUUCACGCCUUCUUCUUGUUCUUCGAUUUUCCAUUGCAGACGGAAAUUCGUUCAAUUCAGAGUUUUCGCAACCAUUCACGGCCUCUUGUAGUUUCCACGAAUCAGAUACAAUUGUAAGGAGAUUUUAUGGUUUAUGCAGCUCUGAGUUCCUUCUAAUUAAAACAUAUAAGUCUCACGACAUCGCAUUUUCCUCAGUUUUUCUGUCAGCGCAAAGCAUCUUGCUGGUUGGUGAAAAUGGACAAGUCCAUAGCACUAUGUGGCCUUAUUCGAGAAGAAGUUAAUCUGAAUAAGCCAUUGAAUCCUCAUUCAUUACACCAUCAACUUCACCAUCAGUUUUAUCAAGGAGAACAACACUGCAGUCGUCCUUAUGCCUAGAUUGGCUCCAAGAGCCAAGGAUAUCCUGGUAACUUUACCCUACUGAUGAUGAUAAAGACCUCCCUAACUCCCUAACUCCCCUGGUGGUUCAUAUGAGAUACGACAUUUGUGAUUUGUCUUCUUGAUUUUGUGAACUCCUGUUUUCUGUUUGUGUCUUCAUUAUUAAAAAUAUUUGUCUUUGAAUUUUACUCCUGAUAUGGUGAUUCUUUGAUUUACGCCAUCCAACAAGAUAAUGCUUCACUCCUAAAUUGCAUUCCUAGAUAUUUGUCUUUUUUCCGGUUUACUGAAGAUGAAGUCAGUGAGAUCUGUGCACAAGCUUUGCUCAAUGAUAAUUGGAAGCACUGAAGAGAGAGGGUAGAGAUUUUAUCAAUCAAAGAAGCUCCUAAUGUCCUUCCAAUCACGAUUUACUGUUUUUGAAGCUGUAUUUAUUUAUUGCAGGGGUGAAUAGUGUUUCGCCUAAUCAAAUAUUGUACUAUCAGUUAAUGUUUUCUUAAUUGUUGAUCAAUAAAUUUAUAAAUUAAAAAUAAAA